ACAGCUGAGGAUUAUGCUGAUCUUCAUGGGAACUGGAGUCUGAGUCAAUAUCUGGCAAAAAUGGAGAACACAGCAGAAGCUCCUGCAGGGGAUGCUCAAGGUGACAACAUCCUCAAGAUACUUCGAAUUCCUGAGCAGGCUUGAGCUGCUGGAGAGCUGGAAGCAAAAACAGACCAGGAGAACACAGGAGAAGCUCCUGCAUGUGAUACAGAAGAUAUCACCAUGGUUACCAGUCCUGAGCAGGCAGGAGCUGCUCCAUUUAUGUGGGGUGCACCUGCUGUGGACAGAGGAGCCACAGAUGACCUUUGUGAAGGAGGCUCAAUAA